rnacentral:rRNA from 1 species
AUACGUAGGGUGCAAGCGUUGUCCGGAAUUAUUGGGCGUAAAGAGCUCGUAGGCGGUCUGUUGCGUCGGCUGUGAAAACCCGGGGCUCAACUCCGGGCCUGCAGUCGAUACGGGCAGGCUAGAGUUCGGCAGGGGAGACUGGAAUUCCUGGUGUAGCGGUGAAAUGCGCAGAUAUCAGGAGGAACACCGGUGGCGAAGGCGGGUCUCUGGGCCGAUACUGACGCUGAGGAGCGAAAGCGUGGGGAGCGAACA